rnacentral:rRNA from 1 species
GACGAACGCUGGCGGCGUGCUUAACACAUGCAAGUCGAACGAUGAAGCUAGAGCUUGCUCUGGUGGAUUAGUGGCGAACGGGUGAGUAACACGUGAGUAACCUGCCCCAAACUCUGGGAUAACUGCUGGAAACGGUAGCUAAUACUGGAUACGACCAACGAAGGCAUCUUCUGUUGGUGGAAAGAAUUUCGGUUUGGGAUGGACUCGCGGCCUAUCAGCUUGUUGGUGAGGUAAUGGCUCACCAAGGCGACGACGGGUAGCCGGCCUGAGAGGGUGACCGGCCACACUGGGACUGAGACACGGCCCAGACUCCUACGGGAGGCAGCAGUGGGGAAUAUUGGGCAAUGGAGGAAACUCUGACCCAGCGACGCCGCGUGCGGGAUGAAGGCCUCGGUGUAACCGCUUCAGCAGGAGAAGCGAAGUGACGGUACCUGCAGAAGAAGCACCGGCGUAACUAUGUG